UGGAUCACACCCCUCUCCCACACAGAUCUGUGUAUUAAAUUCUGAGUGUAGUAAAGAAGGUAUCGGUGUUAUUGAGAUAUUAUAAUGAGAUCAAUAAUAUCAAUGGUUUUUUUUUUAUUAUGGAAUACACUUUCGAUCAGUAAAAAGUAAUACCCUAUAUUAAGAUACACAUUUUUCAGUCAAUGGUACUUGAAAUUAACAUUUUUUUUUUUUUUUUUUUUUUUUUUUGGAAAUUCCCAAUAUUAAUAUGUUAAGCGAAUAUUUUGUAUGGCACUGGUACAUAUAGUCACUAUAGAGUUAUUAUGUCUUGUGACCUAUAACCAUUGUAAAA